rnacentral:rRNA from 1 species
GGAGUUAGCCGGUGCUUCUUCUGUGAGUGAUGUCCUUCCUGCCGGUUAUUGACCCGCAGGCCUUCUUCCUCACUGAAAGUGCUUUACAACCCGAAGGCCUUCUUCACACACGCGGCAUGGCUGGAUCAGGGUUGCCCCCAUUGUCCAAUAUUCCCCACUGCUGCCUCCCGUAGGAGUCUGGGCCGUGUCUCAGUCCCAGUGUGGCUGAUCAUCCUCUCAGACCAGCUACGGAUCGUCGCCUUGGUGAGCCGUUACCUCACCAACCAGCUAAUCCGACAUAGGCUCAUCCGAUAGCGCGAGGCCCGAAGGUCCCCCGCUUUCCCCCGUAGGGCGUAUGCGGUAUUAGCCUGGGUUUCCCCAGGUUAUCCCCCACUACCCGGGCAGAUUCCUAUGCAUUACUCACCCGUCCGCCGCUCGCCACCAGGGAGCAAGCUCCCCGUGCUGCCGCUCGACUUGCAUGUGUUAGGCCUGCCGCCAGCGUUCAAUCUGAACCAGAUCAAAUUCUGA